rnacentral:rRNA from 1 species
CCUACGGGGGUCAGCAGUGAGGAAUAUUGGUCAAUGGACGAGAGUCUGAACCAGCCAAGUAGCGUGAAGGAUGACUGCCCUAUGGGUUGUAAACUUCUUUUAUAAAGGAAUAAAACGAGGCACGUGUGCCUUUUUGCAUGUACUUUAUGAAUAAGGAUCGGCUAACUCCGUGCCAGCAGCCGCGGUAAUACGGAGGAUCCGAGCGUUAUCCGGAUUUAUUGGGUUUAAAGGGAGCGUAGAUGGUUUGUUAAGUCAGUUGUGAAAGUUUGCGGCUCAACCGUAAAAUUGCAAUUGAUACUGGCAGUCGUGAGUACAGUUGAGGUAGGCGGAAUGCGUGGUGUAGCGGUGAAAUGCUUAGAUAUCACGAAGAACCCCGAUUGCGAAGGCAGCUUACUAAACUGUGACUGACAUUGAUGCUCGAAAGUGUGGGUAUCAAACAGGAUUAGAUACCCCAGUAGUC